rnacentral:lncRNA from 1 species
UGGAAGUCCAGUUUCAUCAAAUACAUUUACUUUCUCCAGUUGAAAAAAAAGAAAAAAUAUAGAACAUUUUCUUUAGUAUAAUUUUGUGUGAAUUGAGAUAUUUAGGAUGGAGAAGAUCCCAAGGCUAAAGAAAGAGCAAUGAUUUCAUCGUUAACAAGAAAUAGCUAAAAAUUUAUUCAAUCAAUUCGACCUUGUAGACAAGUUGUAUGGUCAAGUAGAUGUACUCGACCAACUCACCCCAAUUGUCAAAUCUAUUCAACGUUCUUCAUAUCUUUGCUGCUACUUUUCUGUUAUCCCACAUGGCAAGUGGUAGCCACUUGUUUCAGCAUUAUUCACUUCCGCUGGAAUAUCUGGGAAAAGCAUCCAAAAUUACGAGGAAAAAAAGAAACUAGAGAGAAUAUAUGUUUCAGAUUAAGAAGUUUGCUAAUUACUAACCUAAUUUUCUAGAGCAUGUUUGGCUAAGCUGAAAAAGCAGUUUCCACUGCCAAAAUUAACCGAAAAGAUCCUGUCACAGCCAAAAUAAGCUGAAAUAAAUGCUGCUGCUAUAGGUUAAGAA